UACUACUAUACUAGCAGAGUUAAACUGAAAGUACAUUGUUCCAUAGUGUCUAAUCUCAUAAAUCUUUUGUCUUUUCCAGGCAGCCUGGUUAAAACUUAAUCCAUUGGAAAGCAGUUCAGAAACUUACAAUUAAUGACUGCAAUAUUGUAAGAGAUAAAAGCUGGAGUAAAGAAGGAGGAGGGGGGGACACAUUUAACAAGUAACCAUUAUACACGGUGAAGCCUGCUUUCCUGAAGUGGCUGAACUUCUGCUUGCCAAUGGGAAAUGGUUCCAGUCAUCUAUCAGACCCCAGGGUGCUCAGUACUGCCAGUUCUCCUACUGAAUAUUCUUUCUACCUAGCAUGCUGUUGCACUGUUUGUGAGACUGUUCACCGAGCUGAUGUUUCCUUUGCCUCUCUCUUGUGGAUGGCACUCAUCAUCAUAUCCCAGAGCAGCUUGCAAAGUAUAGUGUCUUUUCUAUGCUGUUUAAGGGGAGGCAGAGAGUAAUCCCAUUUUCUGUUUGAGGUUCUCCUGAGACAAUGAGAAAUGGUGUUGAAGAGUCAGACUCUAAAAGUACUCACUGGUAGGGAAGUAGUACUGGCUAGUCAUCACUUCCACUUUGCAGGGGAAAAAAAUAAGAAGAGAAAACCUUUUACUGCCUCUCUGAUUGCUGAGUGAUUUUGAAACCUUACAAAUAUUUUUAUUUUAACUUCUAGUAGGAGAGUUGGAUUUAUGUUAGACCCAGAAGUGCUCUGAUGAUAGUUUUAUGGAAUGACAUAGAUCAUUUACUUUUAUAAGCAACAAGCUGAGCUUCUUCACUCUCUGCACUUCUAGAGAUGUGUUAAUAUGAUAGUUUAUUGGAUAGCUAAAAUAUAUCACAGGUCUUGCAAAUUUAGAACUGUCUGUAAGUGAACUAAAAGCUGCACUGCUAAAUAAUCCCAUAUGUAAUGUUCUGAUAAUUAAACCCCUCUGGCAAUUACAUCAUGCAUUAUCAAGUUUAGCCAGAUCCGUUACUCAUCACUGGUGCCGUGGACAAAACAAAGCUGGUACGCUAGGGACUGUCAGCUCAGCAGAUGCUCCUAUGGAAGAAAGAAGCCAAAUGCUGUUUAUGUAAUGCAAGCACCAGUGUGCUGGAGAAAGAUAUUUCUUCAGCUUGCAAAAUGUUUCUGGAGUUCAGAAACUAGGAAAGGGGGAGAUACGAAGGUACCAUAUUGAUUGUACUGUAUUUGAAUGC